UUCUAAAUGCCAUGACUCUAAGGACACUGAAGUUGAGCAUGAAGCUCUAAGGAGAAAUUAUUUUAUUUUCCCCUGAGAUUUAGGAAUAUUUUAAGGCUCUCCAGGCCUCUCAGUAACUGCUAUACUGUUUGGGACUGACUUUCCAGUGAUGAGAUUACCUAGAUUAAAAGAUAGAACAAACUUUGCAUGUGAAGAUUGUUAAAAUAUUUUCUCAGUGUGAAGAACGGCAUGAGUACUUUAGCUGCAUGGUUCCUCCUAAUAUUAGGUGAUAAAAAAACACUAAUUUUCUAAUCACCUAGGUUUACACUAUAGUUGUAUUUCCUCUAUAUGAAUGUAGUGCUAAUUAUCCUCUUUGCAAAGUAGAGACAGGAGAAGUGGGAAGCAAAGAAGGUUCCCAAGAAAAAAGCAUCAAAGAAUCCAACUGUGUUCCGCUAUUGUAAUUGAAUUUGGAAGCACCUGCUUCUGAGCCAUGGAACAUAAUCACUACAGAAAAUGGACUGUUCCUCAAUAAACUGGACAGCCUUAGAUAGCCAUUCCCCCUGCCAGGUCUGUCACUCUCACAGGUGAAAAAGCUCAAAUACUUGUCAACACCCAGUGGCAACUGGAGGAAGGAGACCCUGAGGUACAUACAUGAAAAUCAUAACUUUGGUCUAUGUGAAGAUUUUGCACUACAAUUAAUGACUUAGACUUCAUGUGCAAGGCCCAAAAGAUCAGUAGUUGUCUCCUGUGUAUAUUUUUAGCAGUACCAUUACAAAAUGAUUAAAAAAUGAAAAUGUUUCAACUUUUGAGCCAUUCCUGUCUGUGUGCAUAAGCAAGGUAAAUUAAUAAAUACUGCUAGCAGAAAUUUAAUGAAGUGGUUUAUCAUAAGAACAAAUUUUAAACAGGAAAAGCACAAAAGACCUUUCAGAUGUUUAUUUUCUAUAAAACUGAUCCUAAUGUAGGCAUAUUUUUGUAUCUAAUUUAAUGACUGUAGUAAUUCUGUUCAUUUACUGUUUGUCAAAGUCUGUACUAAUAUAACAUUUCACAAUGCACAUCUGCAAGCUCAGAAAACUUAAAGGUGUUAUUACUUUUUGUAAUGUUAAUAUCCUUCUGCUCGUCUCAUUGUGAACUGAUUGUGCUUUGUUGUACAAACUGAGAAAACACUAUGGCAAUCUUUGUAUCAUGUAUUUUCUGUCAAUUUAAAAAGAAAUGAAACUAAAACCCUUAUGUAGUUAACUGUACAGUAGUUUUUUUAGCUUGUUUCAUAUUGUGAGACUCUAUACUGAUCUCCCCUUCAUCUGUUCCUUGAUCAAAUCAGAGUCUAUACUAUGUUUCUGAAGCAAAUAUGGUUUGAAAAAUGUAUUUUUCUUUGGCUUCAUUUAUUUUCUCAGGAUGCCUAAGGAUUUUGACUGAACUGAUGAAUUUGACUAUAAGGAAAUGAAAAUACCCCAGUUAAUGUUUUCUUAUCACCCAAACAGACCUCAGCUUCAUCUUUCAAAUUUCAGCGGACUGCAGUCUAAAGUGAAGUUGUUCAGCUGAAAUUGCCGGGACUUUAGGUACUCCAGGGUACUAGAAAGCCAUCUUAUUAUUAAUCCUGCAUUAAUGAAGAGAUUGGACUUAGGGCAUGAUCCAGAGCCCAUUGUAGUCAAUGGGAGUCUUUUUCCAUUGACUUCAGCGGGGUUUGGAUCAGGCCUUUACUUCCUGAAAAGAUAGACUCCCAAGAAAAGUCUGCUGUAAUCAAGAGGCAUUCUAAGAUGCUGAAGACCUAACAGUUGUGACUGGCUAUGGGUAUGGCUCACUGCUCAUGGGGAAGUGUAUCUUAAAUUCUAAGCUUUGCUAUACACAUUCAGAACACUGAAUUUAUAUUCAUAUAAUAAAUGGUAAAUUAUGAGAAACAAUGAAGAUACAUUUCUAAGUAUUUCCCAAGGGGGAGGGGAGAAUUUAAUUUUAAAAUUCCCAGAAAUCUAGUUUGUGAAUCCUUGAUAUUCUGAAUAAAAAGCAAUGAAAUUGCUAGGGAUUUCACUUUCUUUCACAAGCACCGUAAUGAAAACUAACAGUACUAAUAUAAAAUCACAGAUCACUAUUAUAAAAUCUCAGUCAUCUAUUCAAAAUGCCUAUCUCUGUGAAAGGGAUAUAGGCAUGUUAUAGAAUUGAAGGAAAAUUAAGGAUUUUCUUAAAAACAAUAAAUAUUAGGGAGCUCUUUUUUUGUUUGUUUGUUUUUUGUUUUUUUGUUUUUUUGUUUUUUUCCUGAAAUAAGUUUAAAGAAUUUUCCUGGAGAGAAGAGAAAAAAUUAAAUCCUCCCCUACCUCUUCAACAGAUAUAUAUUCAAAGGAAGAAGAAAAUCUCUUUCAAGCCAUGUAAAGAUGUGAGAUCCUAAAUAUCUCAGAUAAAAGACUGAGCUAAUGGAUUCAGGGCUUUUGGCUUCUUAUUGUUGUUUAGUUAUGUGAUGACUAAAUUAUACACCUGCAGAACUGUCAUAACAUCUGAGCUAGUUUCUCAAGAUUUUUCCUACAGAUGUUGUAGGCCCUUUUGUGGCAAAAAUCUAACCAAGCUUUUCAGUUGUUUAAAGUAGAUGUGUUGAACUAUGCCCCAAAACCACAUUCCUCUCUCUACUGAUUGUGAAGGAAAUAAAUAUGACAACUGAAAAAUACAUGUUUACAUAUGAGAACGUGAUUUACUUCUGCCUCUGUCUCCAUGUGGUACUAGGAACAACAAAAUCCUGUACUGAAGGCUAGAAGUUCAAGAGCCAUGUGGUUGAGAAAGCCUUGCAAAAGUCAUUGUAACAGUGAGAGGGCUUGGACAUUGCCAGUUAUAAUUUACAUGGCUGUAAAUCAAGUGUGUUGCAAAGACAAGAAGAGGGAGCCUGCAAGAUUUCUGCUAAAUCUGUCCCAAGGCCAGACACUUCUGAUUUUUCUCCUUUUUCUCCUCCCAUGGGAGUUUUUGGCCAACAGCCUGAACCAAUCUCUUCCUGGUACUUUUCAGAAAAGUCAAACAAAAUUUGUCUCCUUUUUAACAGAAACUUCAGUCUUUCUCUCCUAGGCAUGUUGAAAUGCAGAGAAAGGAAUAACAUGUCUCUGAAAUUCUUGUUCUAUCUGGCACCUCUGAAAAAAUAAUCUGUAAUGUUUGAGUAGCAUAAUCUUUGAUAAAACUAAUAAUUUAUGGUGAACAGAUUUUUAAAGGGAGGGUUCUUGGUACAUUUGGGGUGGUUCCAUUCUCCACAAUACUUUCAUAAAGUAGGAGUCCUCUGGCUGACUACAGUGAGACUUUAAGGCAAAUGAAGCUGUUUGAAAUGCCUGUUCUGGAAAGAGAAUUAUACAGUGGAACUCUGAAAUAAUUCUUGUCUUUUCCUAUUAUUAACAGAAUAUGUUAGUCUUAGCAUUUAACACAAAGCUCACAGAAAGUUUCAUAGUCAAAUAAUGCAUCUUAAUUGGCAUCAUUGAUGUUUUGCUUGCUAAUUUGAUUUCUUUGUGAUAUUUCAUCUCUCUCUUGGUUGAUGUGACAAUAUUUUAUCCCACUUAUACUGGUAACAGUAUUUUAUAUGCCAAAAAGACUCUCUAAAUGCUGGAAAAGUGUACCAUUAAGAUUUGAAAAGUUAUCUCCUGUGAGGUAGGUAUUACUGGUAAUACUGGCAUUAUUAAUGAUUAUCACACAAUCAGACUAAAUCUGUAUACAUAAAUUGUAAAUAAAGUCUUGAGGCUUACUUUGGGC
ensembl:lncRNA